UAAAGUUUCAUCGAUAUAGAGACUAUUGAUUAAGUUAAAUGCAUCAAUUAAAUAUAGUUUUACAUGUGACAUUGAAUACAGGAUAUCAGAAUAAAGGAAUAUGCAGUUACGAAAACCAUGCAUCAAAUGGAUACAAAUUAGUGACCGCUAAAGACUAUUCAUUUUUUGUAUUAAAAUAUUUGCCUGGUUUGAAGGCCAUUUUUUUAUUUAUUUAAGUGAAUAACAUGAAUUAUCAUACCUCACACAACAAAGUUGCGGAGGGUAUAAUGUUUUUGACCCGUCCGUCAGUCUUUUUUGUCAGAGCAACUAUUUGUAGUUAAUAAGGGCACACAGUGUAGAUGUGCAUAUUACCAGGACAUUCUGAUUCAAUAAUAUUUCUGGGAGUUACAUGUAUGCCCCUUUUGAACUUAGAAUUUCGAGCCCCUCUGUCCUGUUCUCUGAACGAUAAAUAACCUAGUAAACAGAGAGAGAGAGAGAGAGAGAAAAUGUCUUCAAUCGUUCUGUUGGAAUUCCCAUGGGCACUAAUUGUGCUACUUUAUAAGCCGACUUCUUUUUAUAGUCUUAAGAGGCAGAAUUAUUCAAAAGCUUCUAUUCACGAAAAGAAAAAAUCUUUUGCUUUGGCCUUCAAGUCGACAUUUAGAUUUAUCGACGACGUUUUAUCUAUCAACAAUAGCCUAAUCAUUUUCAUUCAUACAUGUAUGUCGAUUCGAUAUAUCCCCGUGAAUUCAAAAUAAAAGACAGCAUAGUAUUCCACGUAUGCUUCAUUCUCAAAUAUUUUGUUGAACAUAGAUGUUAUAAUUUAACGGCAAACUAACAACUCAACUUGAUGAAAAAACAGAAUUACUUCAGCUUCUCUAUCCUUAGCUUCCUAUAUUAUCGGGUAUAUCUAGCAAUAUUCCAUUAUUAUCUGCAUGUGUUUAUAUGUCUUUCAAUUGAUUCGAUACCCAAGAGCUUGUUCUACACAUGAUCAUUUUUUUAAAUCGAGACAGGAGACUGACAACUAAGUUGAUGUUACAGGGGUUUAAAGAAUCUUAAUUACGGAUUUCUCGGUUUACCUGAUCAAGAUAUAGGGCUCACGGCGAGUGUGACCGGUCGACAGCAAGGGAUGGUUACUCCUCCUAGGCACCUGAACCCACCUCUGGUAUGUCCAGGGGACAGCGGCAAAGAAUAUAUUGUUGAAGGUCUUUCCAGUUCCUCCUGAUAGACAUUGGGAAUAUGCCCAGGUAUUACAACUGAAAAUCACCGAAAUCCAGGAAGAUGUUCCGCCAUGAUUCUUCAAAGAAAAACUAUGUAUGCCAAUGUCUGCAACAGACACAGUAUAUGCCUCUGGAUUAGCUUGAAAGUCUUAACUCACACUCUGUCUAUCACAAGAUGUGAUGUAAAAAUGAUAACCCUUGUCUAUGUUGGUCAUUUUAUAUGAUUAGUGGUUACCCUUAUGCCAUGAUUAUCAACAUUGUAUUUCCACUUCUACUACUGCGAAUUUCUCUAACUAAAUUUUCUUAAAGUGCUUUUCCUAGCUCCUUGAUCAAAUAUCUUUGUGAAGAAUCAGACAUAGUACAUGUAAUGGAAAUUUUAUUAAGUCCCUGCGUGAGCUACAAAGAUCAAUGCAAAAUCAAUUUCAAGUUCUGUAAUAUUAAAUUUACAAUGAUACAUAUAUGUAAUUGAGAUUUCAUAUCGAUUGUUAGGCCGGUUUUUGCACACUGGUUUGACUACGGAUAACUCCCGUUUACCUGAUCAAGAUAUAGAGGGCUCACGGUGGGUUUGACUGGUCGACAGGGGAUGUUUACUACUCCUUGGCACCUGAUCCCACCACUGGUAUAUCCAGGGGUCCGUGUUUGCCCAACUCUAUUUUGUAUUGCUUGGAGUUAUGAGAUUGCUCACUGUUCGUUAUCUUCACCUUUCAUUUAAUAUCAUUUCCCAAAUAGUUAGUAUGUGCUGUUGGUUUUUGUUUGUCUUUUUUUUGUAAUUGUUUCACAAAUACCAUAUUUUAAUCCAAUUUCUUACAUGUACACCUCCCUUGUUAUCUGAUUGAUACCGUAUCUGUUGAUGUCGAAUAUAUUCUCUAAAUUCCAAAGACAAGUGGAUCUCUGUUGUGAAGUAUCAAGUCAUAGAUAGUUUCAGGUGUUGAAAUAUAUUGUUCCUAAAGAAGUGGACAUAAUCUCAAAAACGAAGGGGCAGCAUGCUUGCAUUUCAAUAACACAUACUGCGAAAAUGACGCAUCCUUAAAGAAUGACUUUCUUGAGAUGGACACUCUUCCUCCCACGAAUUAAUUUACCAUACAUAUAAUCCCGUGGGCAUCCGGGAUAGAAUAGGUCCUCAGUAACCUUGCUUGUCGUAAGAGGUGACUAAAUGGGACGGUCCUUCGGAUGAGACCGCAAAAACCGAGGUCCCGUGUCACAGCAGGUGUGGCACGAUAAAAAUCCCUCCCUGCUCAAUGGCCAUAAGCGCCGGGCAUAGGCCUAAAUUUUGCAGCCCUUCACCUGCAUUUGUGACGUCUCCAUAUCAGUGAAAUAUUCUUGAGAGGAACGUUAAAUAAUAUAAUAUUCAAUCAAUUAAUAGAUGCAUAUAUGUAUAUAAUACAAUGUAAUUCUAAUCUUUUAUAAAUAUUUGCACAAUCAAUUCAUGAAAAAGACCUUUGAAAAUGUUAAAUUGGUGGGUUUUCAUGAUUUGAUAUGGUUGUUCUCAACAGUACAGUUGCAAACAUUCCUUGAUAAAUGAAUAGUUAUGUAUAUACCAGAGAGAGAGAGAGAGAGAGAGAGAGAGAGAGAGAGAGAGAGAGAGAGAGAGUGUGUGUGUGUGUGUGUGUGUGUGUGUGUGUGUGUGUGUGUGUGUGUGUGGGUUUAUAAUGCAUAUUGUUGCAACAAUAUCUCCUUCACAAGUGCCCUUUCAAAAAAUGAAAUUCUUCAAAACCAUGCUUCAAUGUUAGACACAUUUAAUAGGUCGGAUGAAUAUGAAUUACCGUACCUAUACUGGGUUCCUAAACUUCAUAAAAGCCUUUGCACAGACGCAUUGCUGGAUCCAGCAAGUGUUCUACCAAGCCCCUAUCUUUGCUCCUUACUUAAAUAUUAACAGCUGUGAAGAAGAAACUUCAAACGUAAUGUGCGACUACAUAUACAAGCGGUGGUGUAAAUCAAAUGUGGAUUCUAAAAAAUUCUAAAGACUUUUACUAAACUUGAAAUCGCAAAACUUAACUCAAAUCAACAACAUCAAAACGUAUGACUUUUCAACACUUUACACAACCAUUUCUCACGAUUAAACACAUUGUAGACAGCAAUUUUUCAACAAAAAUGGAAAACGGAAAUAUUCCUAUCUAGUGAUCAGUCAUCCAAAAAAUUACUUUGUUAAACACCACUCUGAUUCCAUGCACAAAUACUCUGAAGUUCAAAUAAAAAAAAAAUAUGCUGGAGUUCCUCAUUGACAAUAUCUUCGUGGUCUUUGGUGAUCAAGUCUUCCAACAGUCUGUUGGAAUUCCCAUCGGCACGAAUUGUGCCCCUUUGUUAGCUGACCUGUUUUGAUAUUCCUAUGAAGCAGAAUUUAUUUUAAAAAAACUUCUACAUUAGAAGAAAUAAUCUCUUGCUGUUGCCUUCAAUUCAACAUUUAGAUAUAUCGGCGACGUUUUUAUCUAUUAACAAUAACAAUUUUCAUUCAUAUGUCAAUUCAAUAUCUCCCUGUCAACUCGAAAUAAAAGACAUCACAGAGUCGUCGAGGUGCAUAAGAGAAGCAAUGUUGCUAUAGCUUGUAACCAAUCCAUUUGUAUAUUUAUACAACAAAAUACAGAGGUGGGAUCAGGUUCCUAGGAAGAAUAAGCAUCCCUUUCGACCGUUCACACCCGCCGUGAGGCCAAAAUUUUGAUAAUGUAAACGGAGUUAUCCGUAGUCAAAAUCAGUGUACCAAGAACGGCCUAACAAUCAGCAUGAAACACGUCAGACAGUAUUUGACCCAAUGAUAGGUUGUAUUGGCAAACUAGAUGAUUGUAAGGACCAUAGAAUUUACAAAAUGCUGACUUUAAACAAAUCGAACCAUUCUGCAGAGUGUCUAUAAACAUACAGGACAAUCGUAUUGUAAUACAAUACUAUACCAUACUUUUAUAAAACUGAGUUAAGUGAAUCCUACUAGUCAAUUAAUAGGAUUCCCUCCCGACGAAGUCGAAGGGGACUUAGGUUUGCAGUCCGUUCGGUUGUCAGUCUGUCCGUCAGUCUGGCAAAUCAGUUUUCCACACAUUUUUCUCUGUUCUUGCAGUUAUUCAUUUAAUGUUUGGCACAUUGGUUUGCCAUAACAAGUUGCAGAUCAAAUUCGAAGUUUGUUCCGAUCUGUUGAUUUUUCACGUCAUGGCCCUUGGACUUAGAUUGAUUGAUUGUAUCUUAUUUGAUGACUCUCUCGAAAUCUUUUCACUCAUAUGGAGAUGUCACCAAUACCGGUGAAGAGCUUUGAAUUUAGGCCUUUGCUCGGCGCUUGCGGCCAUUGAGCAGUGAGGGUUCAUUAUCGUGCCACACCUACUAUGACACGGGACAUCCGUUUUUAAGGUCAUUUCCGAGAACCCGUGACAGUCACACCUGAUGCCGAGCGUUUGGCGAUGGAACUGUCACUAUAUGUUUGAACGACUUAGGUAUGUCGCGGCCGGGAUUCGAACCCCGACCUUCCGCGAACGCUCUACCUCUAGAAUUAUCAGUUUUUCGGAUUUUUUUUUUGAUUUUUUUUUGUUGAGUAUGCAGAUAUUCAUUUGAUAUUUGAUACAUUGCUUUGUCAUAACGUGCUACAGAUCAAGUUUUAAUUUUUGUGACCUUUCGCCGAGUUACGGUCCUUGGACUUCGGAAUAUAGUGUGAAUUAUUAGUUUUUCGGACUUGUUUGGGUAGUAGGGGACAGUUUCGCACCAUAGGCCCGGACAAUGUUUUAAAAAAUUGGAAAUACCCCAUUUUGAAGUGAUAUUACUUGUGUAAAAAUGUAUACAAGAAUUUUAGGAUACAUGUCAAAUGUAGCUGAGUGCUUAAUGAAAAUGUUGAUAUACAACAUAUAGGUGUCACCAUGAUUCCUAGCAUAUAGAUGGAUACUAAUAAGAAACUAAGACACGUGGUCAGUUGCUGAAGAAAUUCCGGUGAAAACAUGCAUGGUCCAGCAAAAGGUUUGUAGCUGAGAGGGAAGAUGGAUGGCCCCAUAUGUAAGGUAAAUUUUUAAGAAGGGCAGACAGGGUUCUUAAUUGUGUAUAGUGUCUAAAUCCCCACGCUUGGUACUGUGAUGGUGUGGGGGUGGUGCGGAUUAGCCAAAAUGACAGAAAAUCAAACCAAAAAGGGGCACCUGCUCAGAGCAUGUUUUGUGUACCAGCACCAGUAUGUAUAGAUUACAUGUAAUUUAGGGUCAUAAUUUAUUAACUACACCAAUAUGAAAUACAAGUACUGACAUAAAAGGGAAAUAUGAUUUUUCAUUAGUCUAUCAUAAUCUGACUUUGAUGUAUACCCCCUAUCCACAUGUUUCAGUACCAAAAGAACUAUUCCCUGCCACCUUGGUUGUGCUUGUAGAUAUUCAUUUGAUAAUUCAUACAUUUUUAGUUCGCUUCUACAAAGUUGAUAAGAACUAGAGGAGUCAUAUCCAAACCAACUUAAAGUUUACAUUCAAGUUUCUUAUUUCUGUAGAUAAGAGUACAUUAUGUACUACACUCAAUAAAAAUUGUAACAUAGUAAUGCAUAAUUGUAGCUCAAUUAUCCAUGAUCACCUACAUUUCACAGUUCAUUGACUUGGUUAAAAAUAGACCAUAAAAAUUAUAGAUUUGUCUUUUUUCCUGAUCUAGUAUUUGUACCUGAAUAGUGGUCGAUUUCCAGCCAUUCCUAUACUGAUUCCCCCAAUGUCCCGUUUACCAUAACCUACAUAUUGAACUUAGAAUAUUGUUGUGUUCAAUAAUUUUUGCGGCCGGUAGGGGACUAUGUGUUGUCAUGCAAUGCUCUUAGAAUGUUUGUUAUUGCACAUGUGUGUAACCUCAAGAUACUCACACAUGAAAUGAAGCAUGAAAACUAACAAACAUUUUAAAAUAGAAAUAAACACCUGUCAAACACUAGAUUUAAACAAAAAUAUCAGAAAAUAUCUCUGACAGUCUGCAAAUCAUUUGGGGUACAUGAAUGGUCUAUUGAUAAAAUGCAGUUUACGACAUGCCUUAUAACUUAACUCAGACUCUUUACCGUCAUUUGGCGAGGUCGUCAGCUUCUUCGUAGACCUAUUACAUAUUUCCUCACACGGUAUAUCAUUCAAUCAUUACAAACCAAACUCAGCAUUUUGAAUUCGUUCUAAUUGUGUAGCAUGCAGCAUACAUUCAAACCAGUAACGAGCGAAAUUGAAACCACUGGGUAUAGUGCACCUGUAACUACCAGUUAUAAUCACGUUAUCACAUUUGACGACUUGUAUAGUCCAAGGUUGAUUGUUUGAAUCAAUCAGAUUAUAGUCCUCAAGGAAAGAUUUGAGACCAAGAAGGUUAUCAAGGUUAAUAUUUCAAAUUCAAGCCGCAUUGUAUCAUCAUACCUUAUCACUGGUUUUGGUUACACUGAAUUGUGGAACCACAGAAUAACUAGGAUCCCAAAGUAUUCAUGGAACUGUAACCGCCACGAAGAGAAUGACAGGUACCAUGACGAUGGUAGUACCCAGUACGUGACGGUGGUGCCCAUUAUCCCAACUGCUUUAAGCGGCCGAGUCCAUGUUUUAUUACUGGGCUUUGUCUGGAGAUUUGCAUGGAUGCAUUAACCAUAAACAAAUUAUGAUGCAACUUAGAUGAUUAGAAUCAUAUGAAUCGCUAUCAAGAUGUGAAACAUAGAUGUACUACUCGUAAUGCCAUGGCGGAUCCAGUGAUAGGGCGCCAGGCAUCCCCCUUCCCUGUUUUUAGUAAUCAGUACUAGAUAUUAUCACAUUCUUAUAGAAUUAUGUCAAAAACAAUGUUUUAUAUAAGUUUUAUUUUGUUAAAUAAGGCAGACGCCAGACCCCAGCCUUUUAUCCCCCGUUCAUGUUAAGAGAUUUCUGGAUCCGCCGCUGUAAUGCCAUUCGAAUAGAAUGCCUGUACAUAGAGAUUAUCACGCGUUUUAAUCCCCUGGAAGAUUACCACCAUGUAAUGGUAGCUUUAUGCAAAACAUAAAUAAUUAAAAGUUAAUGAAAUUAAUAACAUGGAAACUAUGGUGCUCUGGUGUUUAACAACGGCCAGAUGUUGGAGUAUUCAUACUGAAAAGGGGUUAAUGUGUAGAUUAGGUACAUGUACAAGAAUGAAAUAAGAGAUCUCAACGAUUUGUGUGACAAUGAACUCACAAUGAAAUGUCUGUACAGUUUUAGUGUCAAUGAUAAUCCAAGCUGAUAACAAAUGGUAAUUUCCAACAUCAACCACAACGAUCUCAAAUUUAACCUUGUCAAUCUUGAUGUCAAGAUUUUGGAGAGUAACUGGAACAAUAAUUCUAUUUUUGAGAUAGGCAAGUGGACACUUGAUCGACAUUUCCAAAUCUAAAAAAGCAAUUGUAGUAAAAUAAAGUUUAACUAUUUACUGUAGAUCUAGUAGUAAUUCAAAAUUAGAUUAGUAACCUACAGCAAUUUUCUAAGCACGGGGUUAAAAUUGAGAACAACUGAAUAAAAGCGCACGAGGUUUAACUGUCACCAUAAUGUACAACAGCGAUGACGUAUAUUUUCAUUCUGGUAUUAAAUCCCUUAUGAUUCGUGCUAAAAUUCCAUUGAUGCCUAUAACAAAUUAGAAUAAAAAUCCUACACGAUAAAAAUCCAUAAAUUAUUUUAGCAGAUAUUUUCCAUUUGCAUGAAAAAGUAAAAAUAACGAGCAGUGAUCAAUAUCAUAAAUCCUAUAAAAAUGCAAAGAGAGUAGGGCAAGCACGGACCCCUGAACACAUUAGGUGAAUAGGAAGAAUAAGCAUCCCCUGUUGACCGAUCACACCCACCCUGAACCCUUUACUAGUAAACGUAGUAAACCGUAGUCAAAAUCAGAAUGUAAAGAACGACUUAACAGUUGGUAACACAUCAGACAGCACUAAAUUAGUGAUUUUACUUUAUAAGCGAUAACUGUUUAUAGUCAUCACCAUGGGUAACAUACACUACCCAUACCACCGACAUUGAUAGUGUUUGAAAAAGAACAUGGGGUAUAAGGCAGCGAAAUUGCCUAUGACUUAGAUAGUUAUAAAUACAGGAAAAAACUACAACCGGCGGCCAUUUUUAAACAUCUGUAUUGGAUCACACAGGUGUUUUAAUAUGACCGUUGUUUGUGAAGUGCAGCCGAAGAAAUGAAUACUUUUCUCCACUGGCACUACGGCAAUUGACAAAUAUAUUCUUGAAUUGAGGUGAGUUUUGCAACUUCGAAAUGUUAUUAGAUGAAGGUUGUAGGAUGCAUUUGUCAAUUGCAUUGCAAACACCGUCUGUUUACAUGUGAAAUGACGUAGUGUCCAUGUUAAUGUCUACUAAAAUAUAGAAAUCCCCCGUUGUCGUGGAAUUUUACAUGAAGUACGAAGCAAAUUGGCUGAUUAGCCUUCAUGCAUUACAACAUGUCUAUCUAUGGUAUUCCUUUGAUAUAAAAACAUACCAAACAAACUAACUUUAAUUUCCUAUUAAGUGUUUUGGGGGUCAAAGGUCAUAGAGAUCGGUCCGAAGUAGGCACACUGAUCAUGAAAAACACAUAGCGAAUACACCAACAACUCAGAGAGGGAGGAUGACUCGGUAUUUUUGCAAUAACAAAUUCUCAGCAUCACAAUUAGCUCGACUUAAUUGUAUAACACAGAACUGCCACACUUCACGCUGGCAUACUUUUCAUGGUAUGCGGGCGUGAAGCGUCACAGUUCAUACCCUCAUUUAUUUUUAACUUACUAACUAUAUAAUGCACCACCAUGCACCACAAUAACCGACUUCCCACACCCUCGUUCAUACAGAGGUAUUUAUUUUGAAACCAUUACGAUGGUAUUGUUGAUAACGAUAAAACCAUCAUAAAAUAUACAAUUUACAAACGAUAUCGUCGAUAUAGACAUCGAAUUAUCCGUGAACAUGGAUUGAACGAAAGUAAGGAAUUACACAUUUACGUUUGAUAGCGACCAUUCGCUAUAUCGACGAUAUCAUCGACUGAUUAUCAGAGUGUAUAGAGAGCUUCUAGAGUAUAUCGAUAUCGGCGAUAUCAGCGAAAGAAAUGUCGAUGAACUUGGUCUGAAUGAUACAACUAAAUUAUAUACAACUGAGAUUUUAGCUGUUUAAUAUACAAAAUAAGAAUUUAUACGACUGGCACACAUGUCCCAUAACCAGUAUGUGACAGGAUAGUCUCCACCUGAUGCAGAGCACCUGCUAGUGAACCUUCUGCAGAUAUAUGUAAAGGUUGGCAGUUGUAUCCUACAAAUAAAAAUGUUUGUCAGCCAUUUUAAUAUACUACAUUGAAAAAACAUCAUGUUUCUAUAAAACAACGCUAUGCACCUAUCGCAGUGGCGGAUCUAGACCUUACUGUGGGGAGGGUUGGGACCCAAAGGGCCGAAGGGGGAGAGCAUGGGAGGGGUAAACACCCUCCCAUGGGGGGAGCCUCCCCCUGGAAAAUUUUAAAGAUUGAUUUAAAAUGGUGCAUUUUAAUGCAUUUUCGACUGAAAUUCUUGUUCCUCCCUUUGGAAAAUUCUAAAAAGAAUUAUUUAAAAUGGUGCAUUUUAAUGCAUUUUCGACUGAAAUUCGUGUUCCUUCUUCCUUUCAUUUAUAGUCACCACAUCCUUUAUAGGUUCGGGUGUGGUUAAAAAAAAGAACAGCGGGGGGAUGGGUGGGGGGCACCCCUCCCCCCGUAAAUCCGCCACUGUAUUGUAUUGGCAUAGCUAUACAAGAAAGGAAUAAAAGACAUGGGACAUUUAAAGGUAGUAGUCUCUUACAUAGCCACUAAAUCAAGGUAAAUUGCUAUGGAGAUAGUAUAAGACGCAUUGUUACCUGGGGCACAGUUACAGUGGUACAGAUGGAGUGUGUGACCCGGAAGAUGACACGGUUGGGUGGCGUUCUGGUAGGCAGAACAGUACUUCCCGUGAUAGUCCGUCACACAGCAGUGCGUGGCGGGGCAGUCACUGUUAGAGGCACAGUCAUCCCUCAAAGCACCCUUAAAUGUAAAGAGAUUUCUGCUUUAAAAAAUUAUCGACAGAAACAUUGUAACAUAUGUUGUAAUUAUUCUUGAGACCUAAUAUUGUUGCAUUACAAAGACGAAUAAAUUCUGUUUGAUUAUUUGUCAUAUUUUGACGCAGCCAAGGCAUGAACGGAGCUCGAACCUAUGACCCUCCGGUCACGACAUGAACUCUCUAACCAUGGAACCACCGUGACCGGUAGUAUAUUCAUUGUUUAAAAAUAUACUGACGAGCCCACAGGGCGAAAGCGCUAUAGAGAAAAAUUUGAGUACUGGAUUUUAUUUUUUGACUCUAUAGAGAGAGAGAGAGAGAGAG